rnacentral:rRNA from 1 species
UGUUUAUCAAAAACAUGUCUUUUAGAAUUGAAUUUAAAGUCGGGCCUGCCCACUGAAUAAUUGAAUGGCCGCAGUAUUUUAACUGUGCAAAGGUAGCAUAAUCAUUAGUCUUUUAAUUGAAGGCUUGUAUGAAUGGUUGGACAAGAUAUAUAUUGUUUCAUAUAAAUUUAUAGAAUUUUAUUUUUUAGUUAAAAAGCUAAAAUUUGAUUAAAAGACGAGAAGACCCUAUAGAUCUUUAUAAUUAUUGGAUCUUAUUUAUUAAGAAUAUUUUAUAUUUGAUUUAUAUAAUUAUUUUAUUGGGGUGAUAGUAAGAUUAAUUUAACUCUUAUGUAGUUAGACCAUAAAUUAAUGACUAGGUUGAUCCAGUAUUAUUGAUUAAUAAAAUAAGUUACCUUAGGGAUAACAGCGUAAUUUUUUUGGAGAGUUCAUAUCGAUAAAAAAGAUUGCGACCUCGAUGUUGGAUUAAGAGAUAGGUUUGGGCGCAGCCGUUCAAAUUUAAAGUCUGUUCGACUUUUUAAUUCUUACAUGAUCUGAGUUCAAACCGGA